GAGUUUGAUCCUGGCUCAGGAUGAACGCUGGCGGCGUGCUUAACACAUGCAAGUCGAACGGGGAUGCCAUUUUCGAGGCGGUUAGUUUACUAAGCGCCAAGAUGCUGGCAUCUUAGUGGCAGACGGGUGAGUAACGCGUGGGUAACCUGCCUUAUACAGGGGGAUAACACUUAGAAAUAGGUGCUAAUACCGCAUAAGCGCACGGGGCUGCAUGGCCCAGUGUGAAAAACUCCGGUGGUAUAAGAUGGACCCGCGUCUGAUUAGCUUGUUGGCGGGGUAACGGCCCACCAAGGCGACGAUCAGUAGCCGGCCUGAGAGGGUGGACGGCCACAUUGGGACUGAGACACGGCCCAAACUCCUACGGGAGGCAGCAGUGGGGAAUAUUGGACAAUGGGGGGAACCCUGAUCCAGCGACGCCGCGUGAGUGAAGAAGUAUUUCGGUAUGUAAAGCUCUAUCAGCAGGGAAGAAAGAAAUGACGGUACCUGACUAAGAAGCCCCGGCUAACUACGUGCCAGCAGCCGCGGUAAUACGUAGGGGGCGAGCGUUAUCCGGAUUUACUGGGUGUAAAGGGAGCGUAGACGGCAUGGCAAGUCUGG
rnacentral:rRNA from 1 species